UCAUUAAAUCAGUUAUCGUUUAUUUGAUAGUCCCUUACUACUUGGAUAACCGUGGUAAUUCUAGAGCUAAUACAUGCUAAAAACCCCGACUUACGAAGGGGUGUAUUUAUUAGAUAAAAAACCAAUGCCCUCCGGGGCUUCUUGGUGAAUCAUAAUAACUUAACGAAUCGCAUGGCCUUGUGCCGGCGAUGGUUCAUUCAAAUUUCUGCCCUAUCAACUUUCGAUGUUAAUGUAUUGGAUUAACAUGGUUUCAACGGGUAACGGGGAAUUAGGGUUCUAUUCCGGAGAGGGAGCCUGAGAAACGGCUACCACAUCCAAGGAAGGCAGCAGGCGCGCAAAUUACCCAAUCCCGACUCGGGGAGGUAGUGACAAUAAAUACUGAUACAGGGCUCUUUUGGGUCUUGUAAUUGGAAUGAGUACAAUUUAAAUCCCUUAACGAGGAACAAUUGGAGGGCAAGUCUGGUGCCAGCAGCCGCGGUAAUUCCAGCUCCAAUAGCGUAUAUUAAAGUUGUUGCAGUUAAAAAGCUCGUAGUUGAACCUUGGGCCUGGCUGGCCGGUCCGCCUCACCGCGUGCACUGGUCCGGCCGGGCCUUUCCUCCUGGGGAGCCGCAUGCCCUUCACUGGGUGUGUCGGGGAUCCAGGACUUUUACUUUGAAAAAAUUAGAGUGUUCAAAGCAGGCAUUUGCUCGGAUACAUUAGCAUGGAAUAAUGAAAUAGGACGUGUGGUCUUAUUUUGUUGGUUUCUAAGACCGCCGUAAUGAUUAAUAGGGAUAGUCGGGGGCAUCAGUAUUCGAUUGUCAGAGGUGAAAUUCUUGGAUUUAUUGAAGACUAACUACUGCGAAAGCAUUUGCCAAGGAUGUUUUCAUUAAUCAGUGAACGAAAGUUAGGGGAUCGAAGACGAUCAGAUACCGUCGUAGUCUUAACCAUAAACUAUGCCGACUAGGGAUCGGGCGAUGUUAUCUUUUUGACUCGCUCGGCACCUUACGAGAAAUCAAAGUCUUUGG
rnacentral:rRNA from 1 species